rnacentral:rRNA from 1 species
UACGGGGGGAGCAAGCGUUGUUCGGAGUUAUUGGGCGUAAAGAGCGUGUAGGCGGCCAGGUAGGUCUGGUGUGAAAACUCGAGGCUUAACCUCGAGAUGUCAUCGGAAACCAUUUGGCUAGAGUCCGGAAGAGGAAAGUGGAAUUCCUGGUGUAGCGGUGAAAUGCGCAGAUAUCAGGAGGAACACCAGCGGCGAAGGCGGCGCUCUGGGCUGGAACUGACGCUGAGGAGCGAAAGCGUGGGGAGCGAACAGG